rnacentral:tRNA from 1 species
GAGGGUAUAGCUCAGAGGUAGAGUGUGUGCUUGGCAUGCACGAGGUCCCAGGUUCGAUCCCCAGUACCUCCA